AUCCCACCAUUACUGAACAAGCAAAUUAUCUGUCGCCAUUUAUCAAAUUGUACUUAAAAUUGAUGAAGAUGAAGAGACUUUGAGGAAGAGGCAGGAGAGGUGGGGAGAUGAAGAGACUUGGAAGAGGCAGGAGAGGUGGGGAGAUGAAGAGACUUGGAAGAGGCAGGAGAGGUGGGGAGAAGAGACUUGGCAGAGGCAGGAGAGGUGGGGAGAAGAGACUUGGAAGAGGCAGGAGAGGUGGGGAGAAGAGACUUGGAAGAGGCAGGAGAGGUGGGGAGAAGAGACUUGGAAGAGGCAGGAGAGGUGGGGAGAUGAAGAGACUUGGAAGAGGCAGGAGAGGUGGGGAGAUGAAGAGACUUGGAAG
ensembl:lncRNA